rnacentral:siRNA from 1 species
GCAUGUGUUAUUGAAAAGUGGUA